AAGUAGGCCAGCAGAUGGUGCUAGCAGUUAUUACAUUAACUUUCACAACUUAACCCUCAACGUACUGGAUUUCACCCACACCACAGACUGUCAACAUUGUAGCUUUUUAUGUCCCCAUACAUUCAGAAAUAGAAAAUAAGACUUUCUACUCCCUCAACACAACACAACACAACACAACACAACAGAGGGGUGAAUUCAAGCACUUCUGAGGUCAAGGCCUGGUCACCCAGCUAUUCCAAGAGGGGAAACUGGGAUUUAUCCAAGACAUGCAGCUCUUCCUGUGUGCCAGAAGAGAUCUCCGAGUAAGCAAGCCAGCCUUUUGCGGGACUGACAGCAUGAUGCAGGGGCCAUGUGCACCGGCUGGCACAUGGUAUCAGGAAUAACGGCUGGCCUGAAGCCAUGUACAGUGCACAGCACUAUUGGGCCAGGCCUGAGUUACUGACAGAUACCCAAUCAGCUUUGAAAUCUUUAUUUACUGCGCAAAAUCAGCUGAACAGGCUUCUUUCCCUGCCAACACCCUGUUCACUUUUCAUACAGCUGCACACACUGGCAUAUGCAAGCUAAUUCAGGACCAGUGAUGGACACAUCUGAUUCAAAACAUUAUACAAACACAAUGUGUCAACACACAUCACAAGGCAGGUGAGUUACAGGCUGUUGACUUCACCCAGGAUCUUCCACACUAUCUUAAAAAGCAAAUAAAAAUCUUCAAAAGCAUAUAUCUUAUUUAGUUGACUUAUUUCGGUAAAUAUUAAAUGUUCUCCUGAGCCGGACCUCUAGGAAGGAAAUUGAAAUGUGAUUUUUCAAGGUUUUGGGCCUGUUAUGUUAUGUUUGUUUAACUUAUCAUAUUGUUCCAUUCUGAUCCUUCUCAGCCCAAAGCAAACUUACGAACACUACUUGUGAGAUUAUUCAAGUAUGGUGUGAAAUAUGUGGGUGAGCGUGUGCGGGCUACAACACAAUAUGGCUUUACAUUGCAUGUUGAACAGAUAACCCAAAUAAAGUUUUUAGUAAUUCCAA